CAAUAGCGUAUAUUGAAGUUGUUGCAGUUAAAAAGCUCGUAGUUGGAUUUCUGGUAGGAGUGACCGUUCCGAACUUGAUUGUUCGUGUAUUGUGUUUUCUCCAGCCAUCCUUGUGGAGAACUUUUCUUGCAUUAAUUUGUAGGGAUUGGGACCCGCAUCGUUUACUGUGAAAAAAUUAGAGUGUUUAAAGCAGGCAAUCGCUUGAAUACAUUAGCAUGGAAUAAUAAGAUAGGACUUUGGUACUAUUUUGUUGGUUUGCAUACCAAAUUAAUGAUCAACAGGAACAGUUUGAGGAUAUUCGUAUGAACAUGUCAGAGGUGAAAUUCUUGGAUUUUGAUCAGACGAACUACUGCGAAAGCAUUUAUCAAGGAUGUUUUCAUUAA
rnacentral:rRNA from 1 species